UACGUAGGGGCAAGCGUUGGUCCGGAUUUAUUGGGCGUAAAGAGCGUGUAGGCGGCCAGACAGGUCAGCUGUGAAAACUCGAGGCUCAACCUCGAGACGUCGGUUGAAACCGUCUGGCUAGAGUCCGGAAGAGGAGAGUGGAAUUCCCGGUGUAGCGGUGAAAUGCGCAGAUAUCGGGAAGAACACCCGUGGCGAAGGCGGCUCUCUGGGACGGUACUGACGCUGAGACGCGAAAGCGUGGGGAGCGAACAGG
rnacentral:rRNA from 1 species